rnacentral:rRNA from 1 species
CUACGGGGGGCACCAGUGGGGAAUUUUGCGCAAUGGGCGGAAGCCUGACGCAGCAACGCCGCGUGAGGGAUGAAGGUCUUCGGAUUGUAAACCUCUGUCAAGUGGGAAGAACCCUGACGGUACCACUGGAGGAAGCCCCGGCUAACUCCGUGCCAGCAGCCGCGGUAAUACGGAGGGGGCAAGCGUUGUUCGGAAUCAUUGGGCGUAAAGCGUAUGUAGGCGGCCGGAUAAGUCAGGCGUGCAAGCCCAUGGCUUAACCAUGGAAUUGCGUCUGAAACUAUCUGGCUUGAGGACAGGAGAGGAAAGCGGAAUUCCCAGUGUAGCGGUGAAAUGCGUUGAUAUUGGGAAGAACACCGGUGGCGAAGGCGGCUUUCUGGCCUGUUUCUGACGCUGAGAUACGAAAGCCAGGGGAGCGAACGGGAUUAGAUACCCGUGUAGUC